rnacentral:rRNA from 1 species
AGUGGCGCACGGGUGAGUAACGCGUGGGUAAUCUGCCUCCGAAUCGGGGAUAACAUUGCGAAAGCGAUGCUAAUACCGGAUAAAAUCUGGUUGGCUUCGGUGAACCGGAUCAAAGGUGGUCUCUUUUAAAAAGCUACCGUUUGGAGAUGAGCUCGCGUACCAUUAGCUUGUUGGUGGGGUAAAGGCUCACCAAGGCGACGAUGGUUAGCUGGUCUGAGAGGAUGAUCAGCCACACCGGAACUGGAACACGGUCCGGACUCCUACGGGAGGCAGCAGUGAGGAAUUUUGCGCAAUGGGGGAAACCCUGACGCAGCAACGCCGCGUGAGUGAUGAAGGCUUUCGGGUCGUAAAGCUCUGUCAGGUGGGAAGAACCCACCAGGUGUAAACAUCACCUGGUGCUGACGGUACCACCGAAGGAAGCACCGGCUAACUCCGUGCCAGCAGCCGCGGUAAUACGGGGGGUGCGAGCGUUAUUCGGAAUCAUUGGGCGUAAAGGGCGCGCAGGCGGUUAUGUAAGUCAGAUGUGAAAUCCCGGGGCUUAACCCCGGAAGUGCAUAUGAAACUAUGAGACUUGAGUAUGGGAGAGGGAAGCGGAAUUCCUGGUGUAGCGGUGAAAUGCGUAGAUAUCAGGAGGAACACCGGUGGCGAAGGCGGAUUCCUGGAACCAGUACUUGACGCUGAGGCGCGAAGGCCUUGGGGAGCGUACAGGGAUUAGGUACCCUGGUAGUCCACGCAGUUAAACGUUGAUCACUAGGUGUAGCGGGUAUUGACCCCUGCUGUGCCGGAGUUAACGCAUUAAGUGAUCCGCCUGGGGAGUACGAUCGCAAGAUUGAAACUCAAAGGAAUUGACGGGGGGCCCGCACAAGCGGUGGAGCAUGUGGUUUAAUUCGACGCAACGCGAAGAACCUUACCUGGACUUGACAUCUCGGGAAUUCCGUUGAAAGACGGGAGUGCCUUUAACGAGGAAUCCGAUGACAGGUGCUGCAUGGCUGUCGUCAGCUCGUGUCGUGAGAUGUUGGGUUAAGUCCCGCAACGAGCGCAACCCCUAUCUUCAGUUGCCAUCAGGUGAUGCUGGGGACUUUGGAGAUACUGCCCCGGUUAACGGGGAGGAAGGUGGGGAUGACGUCAAGUCCUCAUGGCCUUUAUGUCCAGGGCUACACACGUGCUACAAUGGCCGGUACAAAGGGCAGCCAGGGGGGCGACCCCGCGCCAAUCCCGUAAAGCCGGUCUCAGUCCGGAUUGGAGUCUGCAACUCGACUCCAUGAAGUUGGAAUCGCUAGUAAUCGUGGAUCAGCAUGCCACGGUGAAUACGUUCCCGGGCCUUGUACACAUCGCUCGUCACACCACAGGAGUUGAUUGUACCAGAAGCAGUUGAGCU